GCUAAGACAUCCCACCCUGAAUGCCUCCAAUAUUGUCUGGUCUUGGGAACUAAGCAAAGUCGGACCUGGUUAGUAUUUCAGUGGGAGACCUAAUGGCUAUGGAGAACAGGCUAUGGUAGCA
rnacentral:rRNA from 1 species